CCUACGGGAGGCAGCAGUGAGGAAUAUUGGUCAAUGGACGGAAGUCUGAACCAGCCAUGCCGCGUGCAGGAAGACGGCUCUAUGAGUUGUAAACUGCUUUUGUACAAGGGUAAACCUGAAUACGUGUAUUCAGCUGAAAGUACUGUACGAAUAAGGAUCGGCUAACUCAGUGCCAGCAGCCGCGGUAAUACGGAGGAUCCAAGCGUUAUCCGGAUGUAUUGGGUUGAAAGGGUGCGUAGGCGGAUUGAUAAGUUAGAGGUGAAAUGUCCGGGCUUAACCUGGGAACUGCAUGUAAUACUGGUGAGCUAGAGAGUUGAUGCGGUAGGCAGAAUGUAUGGUGUAGCGGUGAAAUGCUUAGAGAUCAUACAGAAUACCGAUUGCGAAGGCAGCUCACCAAUCAAUGUCUGACGUUGAGGUGCGAAAGCGUGGGGAGCAAACAGGAUUAGAUACCCGAGUAGUC
rnacentral:rRNA from 1 species